rnacentral:rRNA from 1 species
GAUGAACGCUGGCGGUGUGCCUAAUACAUGCAAGUCGAGCGAACAGACGAGGAGCUUACUCCUCUGACGUUAGCGGCGGACGGGUGAGUAACACGUGGAUAACCUACCUAUAAGACUGGGAUAACUUCGGGAAACCGGAGCUAAUACCGGAUAACAUGUUGAACCGCAUGGUUCAACAGUGAAAGACGGUCUUGCUGUCACUUAUAGAUGGAUCCGCGUCGCAUUAGCUAGUUGGUAAGGUAACGGCUUACCAAGGCAACGAUGCGUAGCCGACCUGAGAGGGUGAUCGGCCACACUGGAACUGAGACACGGUCCAGACUCCUACGGGAGGCAGCAGUAGGGAAUCUUCCGCAAUGGGCGAAAGCCUGACGGAGCAACGCCGCGUGAGUGAAGAAGGUCUCCGGAUCGUAAAACUCUGUUAUUAGGGAAGAACAAAUGUGUAAGUAACUAUGCACGUCUUGACGGUACCUAAUCAGAAAGCCACGGCUAACUACGUG